CGGGAUGCCGAGCGACUGCGCCUGCUCGAACGUGCGCUUGGAGGUGGGCACCCCGACGAUGCCGCUCAGCUUCCCGGACGCCAGCAGCGCCCCGAUCUCCGCGACGGCGAAGGCCGCCGUCGACCCGGUCCCCAGCCCCAGCACCAUCCCGCUCUCCACCUGCUCCACCGCGCGCACCGCCGCCAGCCUCUUCAGGUCGUCCUGCG
rnacentral:misc_RNA from 1 species